GGCGCAGCCAGUUGGAGUGCAAUUCAACAGCUGUUUAUUAAAGGUGCAGUGAGACGCCUGGCUCUGCGGCCUCCUUCCGCCAGGUGAUGGCUUUACAGGUGGGGGCUUUACAGGUGGGGGCUGUACGUAUUUACAGGUGUCCUGCGGCACCUGGGAUGGAAACAGCGGGGAGGGAACAAGCCAAGACAACCAGGCUCAGGCUGCGGCAGCGUGGUGAGGUAGUGCCCCAAAGUCAGCACCCGGCUCGCAGUGUCCAUCUGCUCCGGGCCGAGGUCUGGCCUGGGUACCCUGUGUCUCUCGGGUCAGGGCUUCACAGGAGUGUUUGCGGUCCUUGGACUUUGUUCCUCCAAGCUCCGGCCUCAGGCUGAUUGUCCAGCGGUGGCCAGCACUGCCUCCUCCAGGAAGCCACUCUAAUCAGGACCUCGGGCUCCCACCAGCCCAAUGGCUACGUGGACCGCUGCUGUGAUAGAUGGAGGUGGCAGAGUGGGCGCUGGAUAGGAUGGGAUGGCUCAGGCCCUGCCCCUGCCUGUGGAGAGAAUGGCAAGGGGCAGCCAGCUGGGAGGGUCCUCUGCCCCGUCAUGGCAGCCAACCUGCUGAACCCAGAGGUAGUUCUGGGAAUUCUCCCCACGGCCCACGUGGGGAAGCAGGCGCACAGCUGCCAGAGCACAGCCUGGGACUCAGUACGGGGGCUUCCACUCCAGGCCCCCACAGCUUGGCAAGCUGGCAGCAUUUCUCCAUUUCCAAGGGUGGCUCGCCUGUGAUGAUGGGGUGCAACAUUCUGCAGCCCCCACAUUUGAGAAGGAGCUCAAAAGGCCACUCCCCGCUUCCCCUUCUGGCUGCUGAUAGGAUGGGAGCAGCCGUUUGCAGAGGUGUCUUAUCCGCCCUGGAGAGGGGCCUCAGGGUGAGCAGUGGCUGUUCUAGCGCCUGCUCAGUCCCCACCACUUUCCCAGGCUCGCUCUCCCCAGGAGGAGUACGUGGUGCAGCCUUUCCUGCGUCCUGCUUCUGCUCCUGGCCCUCAAGCCGAACCCUGGCCUGCGGGACGCGAUGUCGCAGCGUGUGUAUCUUAAGGAGCGGCAGCACAGCGUCCUGGGGGGGCAGAGGCAGGGCUCCUUCAGCACGUCCUCUCCAUCUGGCUCUGCUCCCCUCCCAGAGAAGGGACAGGAACCGGCACACUGUUCCCGGCCCCCAGAGCAGCUCGGCAGGGCGGUGUGACUGCAGAUCCUUAGGGCGGCUGAGAGCAGCUGCUGGCGCUCGCGCAGAGCCGGGCUCCUCAGGGAAGGGGGAUCCGCUGUUCGGGCAGGUGUGCUGGCCCCCGGGAGGAGGCCACGCCCCACGGAGCCCGCAGAUCCAAAGAACAGGAGACUCGGUGAAAAGGCAAAGACCUGGGACCAGGCAGGUGCACGCGGGGACCACUUCCCGCAGAGCGCAGUCCAGGUCCCGUAGUCCAGGCCUGGCUACUGGGCGGUGGCUAGGCCCCGGCCUCCCCUCCGUUUCUCGCUCUCCUCAGCCACGGGGCUGCCGGCACGCCUGCCUCUCCUGGUUCCUUACGAGGGCUGCGGGGACGCCCUGUGUACCCAGCGCCCCCGACCAGUUUUGGGGUGCUCCAGGCUCCCUGCGCGUGUCUGUCUGGGGUUGGGGCGGCCUUUCUGUCGGGCGCAGACACGCCCCUCCCGCACGCCCCCAGCUGAGGCCGAGACGGCAAACAAACCAGCUAAGCCGUAGUUAACCAAUUACCCGGCCCUGCCCGUAAUUACAGGCUUUCUCUUGCGCGUGCGCAGCCGCCACCCUCGGCUGGCAGGCUCCUGCUGCCGCCACCCUCCCAGCCCCUUCCCCACCUCGGCGGGCACUGUCAUUCCCGCCCCCUCCUCCCCAUGCGUUCCCCAGAGGAGAGGGGAGCAAGUGUGGUGCUAAUGCCGGGCCCGGCAGGGCCAGGAACCCAGAAGGGCAUCGCUGAGGACGGCCCCAGCCAGGAGGAUGGUCUCGGCGCGGGCGCCAGGGCUUCGUGGGCGCCCCCUUGCGGUGACGCGCGCUCCAGCUCGCAGCUCACUUUCCUCCCGAAGCCUCCUCGGCUCAAAAGCAAGCGUCUACGCGGGAGUGCGAGGCCCGUGUGGGCAGGGGGAUGACUGAACCCGGGCCCUUGGUAAUGAAAGCACCAAGUCCUAACCACUGCACGCCAGGGAAUUGUCUACUGGGGUAAGAUCGUUAGCACAAGUAUAUCCCAUGUAAUUGGAGACGUGAAUGGCAACCCACUCCAGUAUUCUUGCCUGGAAAACUCCAUGGACAGAGGAGCCUGGAGGUCUAUACUCCAUGGGGUUGCAAAGAGUCAGACACAGCUGAGCGACUAACACACUUACUUAUCCCAUGUAAUAUUUGGGAUAUACUGAAAAUAGUAUUGGGGGCUUCCCAGGUGGCGCUAGUGGUAAGGAAUCCACCUGCCAAUAUGGGAGAGGUGGAUUCAACCUCUGGAUUGGGACCCUGGACAAAGAAAUGGCAAUGCACUCCAGUAUUCUUGCCUGGGAAAUCCCACGGACUGUAGCCCACCAGGCUCCUCUGUCCAUGGGGUCCUAGAGGGUGAGACACAACUAAGUGACUAAGCACACACACACACACACAGUAUUAAAAGGAAACAGAAAUCUAAGUGUUGUUUCUUAAUGUUUUAACUAAUAAAAUCUUCAGCACAGGUAUAUCCCAUGCAAUAUUUGGGAUAUACUGAGACAUAUACUUUUUAAAAGUUAUGUACUUUCAUACAUCAGAAGCAUUACUUAUUAGUAAUAUUAAUAAGUGAUAUUAAUAAAUAAGUUUUUAUUACUGUUUAGAAAAUGAUGCAUUUUUAAUAAAUUCAUUUAAAAUUCAGUAUAAGUAUCCAAUAUGUUACAUAGUAGGAAAUAAAUAUGUUAAUGAAGAAUAGGUAUUGUUUUACUUAAUAUUAAUAAAUAUUUUAAUAAAGAGCAAGUAUUAUUAAUGUUAUUUAGAAAAUUAUGUAUAUUUUUACUGAGUUAAUUUAAAAUUUAGUACAAGUAUAUCACAUGCAGAGUUUGGGAUAUACUUUUAAAAGUUAUGUCUGUUCACAUAUUGAAGUAUUGCUUAUUGUUAAUGUUACCUAGUAAGUUACUUAUUACAUAGUGAAUAACAUUUUAAUAAAUAACAAGUAUUAUUAUUAUUACUUGAAUAUUAUGUUUAUUUCUACAAAACUAGUUUAAAAUGU